AGGGCGGCCUGGUUCCUGUCUUUCACCCGGGAUCUUUCGGCCUUUCAGUGGUACUAUAAAGAGCAAGUGCAAAGCUCCCAGGAGCGCGUAAGCAGAGCCACAGGAGAGGGUGGCUGGGAGGUGUUUGCUACACAGCUCUCCCAGGCUCAAUUCAAAAUCCUUCAGCAUAAGGAAAUACACACAAUUUGGCCCUGCAAUAUUUUUGAAAGAUUUGUAACCUUACCUGGAUUAAACUGUGCUUCAUGUUGAAAGAUUUUUCCUUGCCAAAAUACGCUGCUAGCGUAACUGCAAGAAGCUUUAUUUGCACUGCGUAACACUGCAAGAUAACAGACAGCUCUGAACAAGAUGGCCUGUGCAUCAAGCUACCAUUGAAGAGACUGGGGAUCUCAGCAUCGCAACCUCUGCAGGUCUGGUUGGCAGCGUCUCUAUGACAACUCCCCAUCAGCGAUGGGAGCGACAGUGGUUAUCUGUGUUGGCUGCUGACAUUUUGACAUCUGGGUCAACAACAGGUGAAGCCUCCGCAACCUGCUCAGAGGAGAAGCUUCUCACAGCCUCAUUUGCCUUGCCCACAUCGUACUACUGCCUGCCUUUCACACAGCGGGUGAUCACAGACCACACGCACUGUGCUGCCUCAGGGGCACCCUGGGCUGAGGGCAUGGUGGCAACCGGGGUAUCCAUGGGGUAAUGCCAGUGGGAGGACAGAGGGGGCAGAUCCAGUAGAGUAGAUAAAAAAAUACUACAAUCUCAACACAGUAUUACAUCUGCCCAUUGGUAAUGAUUUACUGAUUUACACAAGAGUACUUCAACUGCCGUCCCCCAACUAAUGCAACUGUUAUAAAAGCUUGUAGGAAAGCACAUUUUGGUCGGCACAUUUUUCCUACAGGCUUGAGGCACUAACUUCCUCAUCCUUUACUGGCACACACAUCCCCGCUUCCACCCAGCCUAGCACUGGGAACUCAACUCCUAAAAGCUGGGACCAGCUAUUUAUUUUGUGCAAUUGGCUAACACAUAUGAACGCAAAAAAGUUCCCCAAACAGCAGCAACAAAAAAAGCAACCAAGUCUCGACAUACCAGCAGCCACACCAUCCCGUUGCUUGAAGCACUGAUGUCUCUGU